rnacentral:rRNA from 1 species
AGCAGCCGCGGUAAUUCCAGCUCCAAUAGCGUAUAUUAAAGUUGUUGCAGUUAAAAAGCUCGUAGUUGAAUUUCGGAAUCAAUGGAUCGGUCAUGCCACUCGGUGUGUACUGGUUUGAUUGGUUCUCACCUUCUAAGGAACCGUGAUGUCAUUAAUUUGGUGUCGCGGGGAAUUAGGACUGUUACCUUGAAAAAAUUGAGUGUUUAAAGCAAGCUCACGCUUGAAUACAUUAGCAUGGAAUAAUGAAAUAGGACAUUGUAUUCUAUUUUGUUGGUUUCUAGGAUCGAUGUAAUGAUUAAUAGGGAUAGUUGGGGGCAUUAGUAUUCAAUUGUCAGAGGUGAAAUUCUUGGAUUUAUGAAGACUAACUACUGCGAAAGCAUUUGCCAAG